GAAAUGCGAUACGUAAUGUGAAUUGCAGAAUCCCGUGAAUCAUCAAAUUUUCGAACGCAUAUUGCGCUCUUGGGCAUUCCUAAGAGCAUGCCUGUUUGAGUGUCAGUAUCAACCCUCAAACCCAGUUUUGGGUUUGGAUAUGGACCUUUUUUCUCAGGGGUAAACCUUGAGUGGUCUUAAAUCUAUAGGAGAAUUUAGCAGACUCCCGCUUAAAGGCGUGAUAAUGGUGUAGUUUACAUCUUUUCUUAGCCGAUUUUUGUGGAUAUGCUCUAUGCUCCGUAAUGGCCAAUUCUGGCAACAUCAAGGGUUUCGGCCUUUGAAACUUGACCUCAAAUCAAGCAAGACUACCCGCUGAACUUAA
rnacentral:misc_RNA from 1 species